rnacentral:lncRNA from 1 species
GGGGGGGGGGGGGGGGGGGGGGGGGGGGGGGGGGGGGGGGGGGGGGGGGGGGGGGUUCAGGUACAAGAAGCAUGGAAAUGGAGACUUUAACCCCAGGAGUGGGUAGUCACUCCCCACCUCCAUCAUGCUCCUCAGAGGCAGGAAUGGGCUGCUGGGUCAGGCUGGCAAGGCCUCAUCUCAGGAGUCCUGCUCUGAGCCAUUCCAGGCAAGGAGGAAGGCUCCACUGGGCUUCCGCCAUCUGCUAGGAACACUUAUUUUGAACCCCCAGCACUCCCUUCAUCACCAUCAGCUUCAUCACCAGCACCACUUGAAGGCUGGGCAGGGCACUUCACAGAUAAAAACGCACGCAAAGGAUGGAGAGAGAGAAAGCUGGAAGGAGCCUGGGACAUCAUGACAUCAUGGAGCUGUCACAGAAACUCUUUACUGGCUUAUCUAUGGACUUCUUUUAUUUGAAAGAAAAUAAAGCUCUAUCUUAUUAAAUUA